UUUGGUGGUUAUAGCCAGGGUGAUACACCUCUUCCCAUUCCGAACAGAGAAGUUAAGACCCUGCACGCCGAUGGUACUGCAUGCGCAGGUGUGUGGGAGAGUAGGUCGCUGCCAAAU
rnacentral:rRNA from 1 species